rnacentral:rRNA from 1 species
GAUGAACGCUGGCGGCGUGCCUAAUACAUGCAAGUCGAGCGAACAGACGAUGAGCUUGCUCCUCUGACGUUAGCGGCGGACGGGUGAGUAACACGUGGAUAACCUACCUCUAAUACUGGGAUAACUUCGGGAAACCGGAGCUAAUACCGGAUAAUAUAUUGAACCGCAUGGUUCAAUAGUGAAAGACGGUUUUGCUGUCACUUAUAGCUGGAUCCGCGCCGCAUUAUCUAGUUGGUAAGGUAACGGCUUACCAAGGCAACGAUGCGUAGCCGACCUGAGAGGGUGAUCGGCCACACUGGAACUGAGACACGGUCCAGACUCCUACGGGAGGCAGCAGUAGGGAAUCUUCCGCAAUGGGCGAAAGCCUGACGGAGCAACGCCGCGUGAGUGAUGAAGGUCUUCGGAUCGUAAAACUCUGUUAUUAGGGAAGAACAAAUGUGUAAGUAACUACGCACGUCUUGACGGUACCCAAUCAGAAAGCCACGGCUAACUACGUG